rnacentral:rRNA from 1 species
CCUACGGGCGGCAGCAGUGAGGAAUAUUGGUCAAUGGGCGCGAGCCUGAACCAGCCAAGUCGCGUGAGGGAAGACGUAAUUCGGUAUGUAAAGCUCUAUCAGCAGGGAAGAAUAAAUGCCGGUACCUGAGUAAGAAGCUCCGGCUAACUACGUGCCAGCAGCCGCGGUAAUACGUAGGGUGCAAGCGUUAUCCGGAUUUACUGGGUGUAAAGGGAGCGUAGGCGGCGAUGCAAGCCAGAUGUGAAAGCCCGCGGCUCAACUGCGGUAGUGCAUUUGGAACUGUAUGGCUAGAGUGCAGGAGAGGAAGGCGGAAUUCCUAGUGUAGCGGUGAAAUGCGUAGAUAUUAGGAGGAACACCAGUGGCGAAGGCGGCCUGCUGGACUGUGACUGACGUUGAGGCUCGAAAGCGUGGGGAGCAAACAGGAUUAGAUACCCCAGUAGUC